CUUUGGAGCUCUGGGUGUGUUCCAAAGCUUCCAGGCUGGAGGGAACGUGUGGAGACCUCAAAACAGGGAGAGAUGCCCAAGGAGCCUGAGCUGAUAAAGUUUUCCCAGCCCCAGUGCCACAUGCAUGAGUAAAGAAACCUUCAGGAUGACUCCAGCUGCAGCCACCAUCUGCCUUCUGUGACUUGGGACAGUCUGUGCACAAACCGUCCUGCUGAACCCAGGCGACUCCUAGAGAGAGAAGGAUAGAUUGAAAGUUAUUUUGUUUCAUUAAGUUUGAGGUGUUGGUGACUCGGCCGGGACAUCUGUCUACAGGUGGAGCCCUGCUUGCUACAGGGGAAGGAGAUUCGCGCUGCCCAAGAACAGAUGACAAGGAGAACACUGAGGUGGAGGGAUUCGAGGAGACGUUGUGUGAGGUCCCCAGGCCUAUCUCUACCCUCUCCGGCUGCUGCGGCUCUGGGGGCGUGGGUGUUAGUGUCUUGAAUGAGCUUAGGGUUUGAAGGACUCACCUGGGGACAGGUCUCCCAGAUGCAGAUUCAAAGGCACCACCCCAGAUGGGCCUGGGGCCUGGUCUUUUUAACCAGCAACGGUGUGCUUGCCCUCUCUGAAGUUUGAGAAAUCCGAUCAAGCAUCCUGGAGGAAACUUCUUGGUUUUCUAUCCGAGUUUGCACAGGAAGAGUUGUUUGCUUUUUUUUUUUUUUUUUUUUUUUUCCUUUUUUAAUAAUUACAAUAGUAACACACAUUUCCUGUUACUGAUUAGGAAAAUCUGGUCUGCUUUUACUAAGUAAUUAAAGAUGGAAGAUUCACACAGAAUGAUUCAUGCGCAAAUGUCCACUAGGGCGUUUCCUACUUACCAAUCUACAUCUCGGGAUGGGGCCUAGCAGCUAGGUUAGUGAAAGGAGACAGGGAAAAAACAUUUCUAGCUUUGCCUAAGUGGCCUUCCCCAGGACCCAGGACUACUGCCACUUGUGAGGAUCCAGUCUAACUCCUUGUCUAAGCUCCUGGGACAUGCCAGGCUGGAGCAGCAAGGGUGAAUGGGUGAAAAGGGCCUGCCCAGAAUGUUUUGGGUGAUAGCCGGAAGCUCAGCAUAUUCACCCUUCAACAAUUAUUUAGUUGAGCGCCCACUGGGUGCUAGGCAUUUCCUAGACACUGGCGAUGCCACAGUCAACAGCCCUUGCGACUCCCUACACUUCUGGAUUCUGGUUGGGGGAGAGAUGUACAUGUUUUCAACCUGACCCAGGGAACGUUGGUCGUAAGAAGGAUGCAAAGCCAUAGUCAUUCAUCUUUUCUGGGAAAAUCUUCCCUUUAUCAAGGGCCUUCUUUUGACCUUGGACAUAACUCAGGAGAUGCGGAUCCAGGCUUUUGAGGAUCCUACACACUUUAUGAAGCAGAGGUUCGCAGACUAUGGCCUCGGGGGUGACCUGAGGCCCUCACCUGUUUGGCUGGCACACAGCCCUGCUCAUUCCUUCCCCUGCGGUCUGUGGCUACUUUUGUGCUCUAGCAGCAGCACUACUGCAACAAACCUGGAUAUAUGUACUCUCCGGCCCUUUGCAGAAAGUUUGUCACCUCUGGGGUAGAGACCCUCACCGGGCCCAGAUCUGGAGAUCUGCUGGGUCCCCUGUGGUUGGGUGACAGCUGGAAUCAUCUGUUCAUGCUGGCCUUCUGGAAUUCAGAGAGAGCAGAGGCCUCUCCUGCGCACUCCGGCGUGCAUCUAGCAGGCUGGGUGGUGUUUUCUGGACUUGUCGAGGUCAGAGGAUGGCUCCAUCAGAGGUCACACACCUUCUCUGCCCUGUGGACUUCCCUUUGGGCCCCCAGGGGGAUGUCUGGGACUCCUGCCUUAAUCCACCAACAAGCCCUGGGUGGGAAUUGAAGCC